GUGAAUCAUCGAAUUUUUGAACGCAAAUUGCGCCUUUUGCGGAAGGCGUGUCUGUUUGAGGGCACCAUUUAACAAAUAAUGUGCAGCGUUUUGUGUUGGACACGUGGAUGAGCUUUCCAAGAAUUUUAAAUUUUGUGGGGCGCAUAAUGAACAGCGGGAAAGUUUUUUUCAGUUCGAGGGUAGUAAAAUCUUUGCUUGGGUUGUGAAGAAACAUAAUCGCGCAGUGGGUGUGGCAAUUCCUUUUGAUCCCCGCCCCAAUGCCACUCUU
rnacentral:misc_RNA from 1 species